ensembl:lncRNA
GGAGCGGGGAGAGAGAGAGACACGUAGUGGAGCGGGAGAGAGAGAGAGAGACACGUAGUGGAGCGGGAGAGAGAGAGAGAGAGACACGUAGUGGAGCGGGAGAGAGAGAGAGAGACACGUAGUGGAGCGGGAGAGAGAGAGACACGUAGUGGAGCGGGAGAGAGAGAGAGACACGUAGUGGAGCGGGAGAGAGAGAGAGACACGUAGUGGAGCGGAGAGAGAGAGACACGUAGUGGAGCGGGAGAGAGAGAGAGACACGUAGUGGAGCGGGAGAGAGAGAGAGACACGUAGUGGAGCGGGAGAGAGAGACAGAGACACGUAGUGGAGCGGGAGAGAGAAAGACACGUAGUGGAGCGGAGCGGGAGAGAGAGAAAGAGGGACACGUAGUGGAGCGGGAGAGAGAGAGAGAGACACGUAGUGGAGCGGGGAGAGAGACACGUAGUGGAGCGGGAGAGAGACACGUAGUGGAUCGGGAGAGAGAGAGAGAGAGACACAUAGUGGAGCGGAGAGAGAGAGAGACACGUAGUGGAGCGGAGAGAGAGAGAGACACGUAGUGGAGCGGGAGAGAGAGAGACACGUAGUGGAGCGGGAGAGAGAGAAAGGGGGACACGUAGUGGAGCGGGAGAGAGAGAAAGGGGGACACGUAGUGGAGCGAGAGAGAGAGAAAGGGGGACACGUAGUGGAGCGAGAGAGAGAGAAAGGGGGACACGUAGUGGAGCGGGAGAGAGAAAGGGGGACACGUAGUGGAGCGGGAGAGAGAGAGAGGGACACGUAGUGGAGCGAGAGAGAGAGAAAGGGGGACACGUAGUGGAGCGGGAGAGAGAGAGAGAGCGACACGUAGUGGAGCGGGAGAGAGAGGGGGACAUGUAGGGGAGAGAGAGAGAGGGAGACGUAGUGGAGCGGGAGAGAGAGAGAGAGACCUAGUCUGCACUAACCUUAUCUAGAACUGGACCCACCACAGAGUAUUUUUGAGGACACAGCUCACUCCUGGAGCAAUGACUUGAGAGACCACCUCUGCAAUAGAAUGUUGUAUCUCCUAAAAAGUUUAGGGUCAUGUUGAAUCUUCAUUAUAACAUUUUCAGAUGAUGCGUUGUUUUGUGCUUUAUAUAUGAUAUGUAUUUAAUAGACGGGAACAAGGUGUGUGUGUAUGUGCAUGCACAGUUUGUUUGUCCCGACUGAUUCCAUGACUCACAUGGACCUGUCACACAGACGUUGUGGACUUGACACUCACUCUGUCUCUCCCCCUCUUCCUCCUCUUCUCACCGCUCACUCUCUGGAAAUUUCACUUUCAUCUUGUCCCCCGCCCUGCCCACCCCUCCUUUAUUUACACCUUUUUCCACUCUUUCUUUCUCUGUUUUUCUCUCUCGGCUGUUCUUUCCAACAGACUUGACCAGCAAACCCCGUAGCCCUCCCCAGCCUCCUCCUCCACCACCCCUUCCCCCCGGCCGGCCGCCACCCCCAACCCCACCCCAGGAACGAGGGAACGAGACAGAGCUGGGAGGUGGAGGAGGAACUACAGGAGGUGCAGGAGAAGGAGUGGAGGACUGGGAGGAGAGAGAAGCUCCUCUCCGCCAAAUGGAGGGGGUGGAGGGUGAAGAGCGGGAAGGAGGGAGGGCAAGAGCCAUUGACAACCAGUACUCCUUCUUCUGAGGAGGCAGGGGGGUUUGUGCGAAAGGGAGAGUGGAGGAGGUGGGAGUCAUAGCCAUUCAUAACCAGUAUUUGUAUUUUAUUACGGGACUGUGAGGGGAGGGGGUUAGAAGGACGUACUAACACUAUUAAAACACAAGCAUUCUGGGAGAUUCAGCCAGAUGGAGAGAAAGAGAAAACAGGUGAAAGAGAAGAGAGAGGGAUGGGAGCACCUUACAACACUAAGUAAAGGUACACUAAGUAAAGGUACACUAAGUAAAGGUACACUAAGUAAAGGUACACUAAUGUUUAGCGAGAUAAGCUUUUUGCCGGUACACCUCUUGGUACGCUUUUUGUAGACUUUUGAAUCCAUUCAUGGAUGUAGGUAGUGAGAGAGAUAUCCUCUGAACCCAGCAGUACCAUACCUCAAUAUCCUGCAGACGUUCUACUGGCCAACAGUACACUCUCACAGAGGUGGAGAUGGAGGACAACCAUAUACUUACAAGGUGGCAAAGAGACUAGGCUAGAACCGGCAGGCAGGAUACAUAUACCUCAGUCACUUUUUCAACCUCUCUCUUUUUCGCUCCUCAUUUUCUGGUUUUCUUUAAUGGUAGAGAAGUGGCCAGAGGUAGAAAGAGAGCGAAUAUAUAUUAAGAUAAAAUACUUUAUUAUUGAUAAUAAUAAUGAUACGAUUAAACAAUAAUGAUAAUGGAAAUAAUGAUGGUCGGAAUUAAUAGUAUUCAUUUUAUUUUGUUUUUAAAAUGCCUUUUAUUGUAUGUUGUUUACUCCAUGUAAAGCGUAACACUUGUUCCUGCCCCCAUCCGAUUAUUUCAGUUGAAAUUUGUUUGUGCCUUUUUUUAUAUUGCUAAGCCUCAUACUCAGUCUUUCCCUCAUGCUCAUACAGUCCUCUCCUCCUGGACCUCAUCCUAAUUUAAUUUUAACGUGCAGAAAUAGAAUAUAAGAAAAAUAUAAGGGGGAGGGAGGCAUUUUUCUACUCGUGCCUUUUUGUGUUAUCACCUCUGUCAUACUCCUUCAACCUGUGCCUGGGUUGUGUGGCCAUGUCCGUCUGUUUGCCAUUCAGUUCAGUGCCUCUAUCUUUCUUUCUCUUUGGAUCUCCCUCCUCCCUCUCUUUGUUUAUACCUUUACUUCUUGUUUGUCCUCUCCUCUACUCAGAGCCUUGUAAUCAUCUUUUACACAUCUUACCCCAUCCCCCUGUUCAUCCUUUUCAAAUGUUGAACUCUAUUUGUGCCUUUCUGUCUCUGUCUGUCUCUUGCUCUCUCUUUUGCUGGGGACCUUGUGUUGACGGUGGGCAGGGUUUUGUCCAACCUUUGUGGUUAGUUUCAGGUACUACAUUGAAUUUAAUGAUAUGAUAUAAUAUAAUUAUACUGAAACAUUAUGGUCUAGUGUGUUGUUGCUUUGGCUCACUGUUAUUGUUUCUUACUGAAUAAAGGGGAAGGAUGUAAAGGAAUGUUACAGUAAUUCUUGCAGCUUUGGGUUGUCGCUAGUUGCCACAAAGUCAAAUGAAUGUCAUAAAAUUAAUCAAAACAAAAAUUCGCGUUUUGGUCAUAAUUUAUGGUUAGACAUAAGGUUAGCGUUGUGGUUAAGGUUAAAAUCAGAUUUUAAGAAGAUAACAUUUUAGAAAUAGGCG